ACCUGUUUUUAUGGCUUAUGUUGGCAUUCCAUAUCGAAUGGUAUCUCUACCUAAAAAGCCAAAAGUUGGAAAAUAAUAUUUUGAUUAAUAUCCACAACUCCCUUGAAAUCCUUCUUCAAAAAUAUUACAUAUGCAUUUCUCUUAAGAAUAGUGUGCCGACCAAAAUACCCUUAUUUAUGGGUGACUCAGCUUCUCCUAUUGUUCCACAUGGCAAAUUUACGACAAUUCAACUUCUUCCACCUAAACAAUUAAUCAAAAUAUUGUUAGUGACUUUCUGCCUCCAUACUCCCCUUCUUCUUCCUUUACCCUUCUUCUUCAUGGUGACCUUCUUCCUCCACCCUUCUUUUUCCUCAGCUCUCAAGGCUUCUUCUAUUCCAUCAUCAAUCCUCUCUAAUAUUUCUUAUUCCGAUCAAUUUAAUGGCGUUUUUUAUUUGAAGGGCACCUUGGAAGAUUUGUCUCCAUUCAGAUUUCUGACAGCACGCCGAUGAAGAGCCGGCAGACAUGUGGAAUGAGACGUGUUUUCCAUUUGGUUUUCUCAAGAAACUUAUUCAUCGGAAAAUGUUGAUGAGUUUAGAGAUAUGUGGGUCAAGUAUUUGCUCAAACAAGAAACAGAUGAAGAAAACAAAGAUGAUGUUAAUAGCUCCGUCAGUAUUGGUUCCAAUUAUUCAUAAUUGUUGUGAAUGAUUAGACUUUGGAACACCGUUUUGUUGUUUUAACAUUUUAUGAAAUUACAAUUGAUGUUGCAUUUUUGGAGAUUACAAUUGGAGUAUAAAUAUAUAUAUAUAUAUAUAUAUAUAUAUGAAUUGUUGUGGAAUAUAUUAUUACAAAAUUAUUAUAUAGAAGGUGUAGUUUGCAUUUCGCAUAGCA